rnacentral:tRNA from 1 species
GCUCAGUUGGUAAAGCACAAGGCUCUUAACCUUGUAGACGUGGAUUCAAGUCCCAU